rnacentral:rRNA from 1 species
CAGUAGCCGCGGUAAUACGUAGGGUGCGAGCGUUAAUCGGAAUUACUGGGCGUAAAGCGUGCGCAGGCGGUUGUGUAAGACAGGUGUGAAAUCCCCGGGCUUAACCUGGGAACUGCGCUUAUGACUGCACAGCUAGAGUAUGGCAGAGGGGGGUGGAAUUCCACGUGUAGCAGUGAAAUGCGUAGAGAUGUGGAGGAACACCGAUGGCGAAGGCAGCCCCCUGGGCCAAUACUGACGCUCAUGCACGAAAGCGUGGGGAGCAAACAGGAUUAGAUACCCCUGUAGUCCCUGUCUCUUAUCC